rnacentral:rRNA from 1 species
GGGUUGUGAGGUUAAGCGACUAAGCGUACACGGUGGAUGCCCUGGCAGUCAGAGGCGAUGAAGGACGUGCUAAUCUGCGAUAAGCGUCGGUAAGGUGAUAUGAACCGUUAUAACCGGCGAUUUCCGAAUGGGGAAACCCAGUGUGUUUCGACACACUAUCAUUAACUGAAUCCAUAGGUUAAUGAGGCGAACCGGGGGAACUGAAACAUCUAAGUACCCCGAGGAAAAGAAAUCAACCGAGAUUCCCCCAGUAGCGGCGAGCGAACGGGGAGGAGCCCAGAGCCUGAAUCAGUGUGUGUGUUAGUGGAAGCGUCUGGAAAGGCGCGCGAUACAGGGUGACAGCCCCGUACACAAAAAUGCACAUACUGUGAGCUCGAUGAGUAGGGCGGGACACGUGGUAUCCUGUCUGAAUAUGGGGGGACCAUCCUCCAAGGCUAAAUACUCCUGACUGACCGAUAGUGAACCAGUACCGUGAGGGAAAGGCGAAAAGAACCCCGGCGAGGGGAGUGAAAAAGAACCUGAAACCGUGUACGUACAAGCAGUGGGAGCCUCUUUUAUGGGGUGACUGCGUACCUUUUGUAUAAUGGGUCAGCGACUUAUAUUCUGUAGCAAGGUUAACCGAAUAGGGGAGCCGAAGGGAAACCGAGUCUUAACUGGGCGUUAAGUUGCAGGGUAUAGACCCGAAACCCGGUGAUCUAGCCAUGGGCAGGUUGAAGGUUGGGUAACACUAACUGGAGGACCGAACCGACUAAUGUUGAAAAAUUAGCGGAUGACUUGUGGCUGGGGGUGAAAGGCCAAUCAAACCGGGAGAUAGCUGGUUCUCCCCGAAAGCUAUUUAGGUAGCGCCUCGUGAAUUCAUCUCCGGGGGUAGAGCACUGUUUCGGCAAGGGGGUCAUCCCGACUUACCAACCCGAUGCAAACUGCGAAUACCGGAGAAUGUUAUCACGGGAGACACACGGCGGGUGCUAACGUCCGUCGUGAAGAGGGAAACAACCCAGACCGCCAGCUAAGGUCCCAAAGUCAUGGUUAAGUGGGAAACGAUGUGGGAAGGCCCAGACAGCCAGGAUGUUGGCUUAGAAGCAGCCAUCAUUUAAAGAAAGCGUAAUAGCUCACUGGUCGAGUCGGCCUGCGCGGAAGAUGUAACGGGGCUAAACCAUGCACCGAAGCUGCGGCAGCGACACUAUGUGUUGUUGGGUAGGGGAGCGUUCUGUAAGCCUGUGAAGGUGUGCUGUGAGGCAUGCUGGAGGUAUCAGAAGUGCGAAUGCUGACAUAAGUAACGAUAAAGCGGGUGAAAAGCCCGCUCGCCGGAAGACCAAGGGUUCCUGUCCAACGUUAAUCGGGGCAGGGUGAGUCGACCCCUAAGGCGAGGCCGAAAGGCGUAGUCGAUGGGAAACAGGUUAAUAUUCCUGUACUUGGUGUUACUGCGAAGGGGGGACGGAGAAGGCUAUGUUGGCCGGGCGACGGUUGUCCCGGUUUAAGCGUGUAGGCUGGUUUUCCAGGCAAAUCCGGAAAAUCAAGGCUGAGGCGUGAUGACGAGGCACUACGGUGCUGAAGCAACAAAUGCCCUGCUUCCAGGAAAAGCCUCUAAGCAUCAGGUAACAUUAAAUCGUACCCCAAACCGACACAGGUGGUCAGGUAGAGAAUACCAAGGCGCUUGAGAGAACUCGGGUGAAGGAACUAGGCAAAAUGGUGCCGUAACUUCGGGAGAAGGCACGCUGAUAUGUAGGUGAAGUCCCUCGCGGAUGGAGCUGAAAUCAGUCGAAGAUACCAGCUGGCUGCAACUGUUUAUUAAAAACACAGCACUGUGCAAACACGAAAGUGGACGUAUACGGUGUGACGCCUGCCCGGUGCCGGAAGGUUAAUUGAUGGGGUUAGCGGUAACGCGAAGCUCUUGAUCGAAGCCCCGGUAAACGGCGGCCGUAACUAUAACGGUCCUAAGGUAGCGAAAUUCCUUGUCGGGUAAGUUCCGACCUGCACGAAUGGCGUAAUGAUGGCCAGGCUGUCUCCACCCGAGACUCAGUGAAAUUGAACUCGCUGUGAAGAUGCAGUGUACCCGCGGCAAGACGGAAAGACCCCGUGAACCUUUACUAUAGCUUGACACUGAACAUUGAGCCUUGAUGUGUAGGAUAGGUGGGAGGCUUUGAAGUGUGGACGCCAGUCUGCAUGGAGCCGACCUUGAAAUACCACCCUUUAAUGUUUGAUGUUCUAACGUUGACCCGUGAUCCGGGUUGCGGACAGUGUCUGGUGGGUAGUUUGACUGGGGCGGUCUCCUCCUAAAGAGUAACGGAGGAGCACGAAGGUUGGCUAAUCCUGGUCGGACAUCAGGAGGUUAGUGCAAUGGCAUAAGCCAGCUUGACUGCGAGCGUGACGGCGCGAGCAGGUGCGAAAGCAGGUCAUAGUGAUCCGGUGGUUCUGAAUGGAAGGGCCAUCGCUCAACGGAUAAAAGGUACUCCGGGGAUAACAGGCUGAUACCGCCCAAGAGUUCAUAUCGACGGCGGUGUUUGGCACCUCGAUGUCGGCUCAUCACAUCCUGGGGCUGAAGUAGGUCCCAAGGGUAUGGCUGUUCGCCAUUUAAAGUGGUACGCGAGCUGGGUUUAGAACGUCGUGAGACAGUUCGGUCCCUAUCUGCCGUGGGCGCUGGAGAACUGAGGGGGGCUGCUCCUAGUACGAGAGGACCGGAGUGGACGCAUCACUGGUGUUCGGGUUGUCAUGCCAAUGGCACUGCCCGGUAGCUAAAUGCGGAAGAGAUAAGUGCUGAAAGCAUCUAAGCACGAAACUUGCCCCGAGAUGAGUUCUCCCUGACUCCUUGAGAGUCCUGAAGGAACGUUGAAGACGACGACGUUGAUAGGCCGGGUGUGUAAGCGC